AUGUAUGCAUUUUUGUCCCAGUCCCAUCACUUACACUUCCUAUGUAAAAAAUGGAAGAAAAAAACAACUGUAUCUUCCUCACGGGGAUGUUAUAAGGUACUGAGGCCACAAUUUCAGUCACACGAGCGGGUUGGCACUACAGAAGCGAUCCUCACACAGGGUACGGCAAUGGCGCCCUUCGUGAUGAAGACCCUGCACCGAUCGCACGGCUCAGGAGCCAGCAAGAAGUAUUCUCACUCCAAGAACUGGCUCCUUGUCCACACUCAACGGUACUGGUGUAGGUUUAAGCACUUUCUCAAGCCAUCCGUGCUUCAUGUGGAUGCCCGUCUGCUGGAGAAGAUUUUCGGUGAGUUCGCUCGAAUAUUUACCACUCGGCCCCACGUUGGUCUCCAGUGACCACCCCGAGCGUCCCAGCGCAGGCCCAAGGCAGUGGCUGGUGUCCUGCCAGUGUCCCAGGACCUCCUUCGCCUGUCCCCCAGAACGCCACGAGUCUUGUCCCAUCCCCCCCUCGCCCCGCCCCCACGCUAAUCUCUCGGGAACCUUCCAUUCACCACAGGACCAAGCAGAGCCCUCGUCCCGGGGUUCGAACGGGAGUUCAAGGUCCUGCUCCAGAUGAGAGAGCCCAACUCCGAGGGCAAGGUUGAGAUCCUCAUCAUGGGGAGGCGCCGGUACCGGAAGCGUGCCAAAAGGCUGAUUCGCAUCUUGGCGGCGAAGCCCCGAGGGAAACGCUAUGGAGGUGAGGAGCGCCAAGUGCCUGGGCUCCGAGUGCCGCCGCCCUGCGCGGUGCUGAGGGAGCUUUCACUUCCGCCACUCCCCUCCCGCAACCUGGGGCUCCUUCGUGUCCUGGGAUGCUGGGAUUCCGGGGUUUCCGGGAGAAUCCCAGAAACUCGGGAAUAGAGCACUGUGGGAGACAGCUGGCAAACCCAAGGAAGGAAGAGCCAGAGCCAUAAGGAACCUCUCACCCCAGGCCCUUCCCGCCUGUCUGGUCUCCCCUUUCAGAAGCUGGGAAGGAACCGCCUGGAUCCCACUUCCUGAGAUAAAACCGAGUCUAGGACGUCCUGUACUCAGUGAUUCUCAGACUUAGAAUGAAUCCAAGAGCACGGUAAAAAUGCAGAUUGCUCACGAUGACUUCCCUCUAACUCCAGCCAGGAGUUAGGCAUAUUGGCAAACUAAAACCUUUCUGUUUCUUACCUAUAAAAUGGGUCUAGUCAUAGUAGCCUCCGUAUAAAUUUUUUUCCAAGGAUUAAAUGAAUGAAGACAAUAAUGCACUUAGAAUACAUAGAAAAUACUAGAUAAAUGAGCUAUCAUUUUAUUGGUUGUUCAGCUGAUUCUGAUGCAGGCGGUCUGCUCUAAGGUGACCAGUAAGGUAAACUCAGCAGUAUUUUCUGUGGAGUCACUUUCCCUGUGUAUCCUGUAUGUUCGCCUGGGCACUAAACUUGCUCAAUUUCAUGCUUUACUUCCAGGCACAAUGAUGUUCAGCCUAGAAACCAUGAAGUCUUUUGAAAGAGAAAAUGUUCAUUCUGAUGAUUUCCUCUCCACCGCUAUGAUGAGUAGCCUGGAUGAAGCCAUGCAGUCCCUGGAAAUAGGUCAGGAGACUGUCCAGGAACCUGUUACCAAAACAGUGUAAUUUUUGUGAUUAGGAACCCAGUGCAGGGGGGUCGGUUUGGGUCAGGAGCCUUACCCUCAGAGGCCCGGUCUGAACUCUGCCUUUGUUCCUGUGGCUAAGGAGAAACAAGUAUUGUCGGUGGUCUAUCCACCUUCCUCCUUCAUAGAUAGUUGUUUAAAGAUUCAAAUGUGAGUUACAAUAAAAAAUAAACUUUAAAAAACAUAGAUAUAUACAUAGAUAUAGAUUAGUAGUGUCAAGAAAGGCAAUCUUGCUUUUGCAUGCUCCAAGAUGGGAAAAUGCUAAGAAUUAGCAAAUGGUUGGUUCUGCUUUUUCAUAGUGUUUUGUGUGAGGUGGGUAUGGCUGGGAUCUUUAAUGUUCCAGGGACUUUUGUCCAUAAGGAAGAACUUUACUACUGUUUAUUCUUUCACUAAUACUAAUUUUGAAAAAAAAAAUGUUUGAUAUUAAACAAGCUUUAAAAAAAAUAAAAAAUAAACAAGCUUUAUAAACCCAAUCAGUAAGUAUUGAAACAUUGAUGACAAGCUGAUUCCAUUCUCUUUGGCUUUUAGUUAAAAAGAAGUCGGUUAAUGUUUCUUUGUUGCAUCUUUUUUAAUAGCUUAAAUGUCAAAACACAUUAGCGAGUACAAAAUUUAUUAUGACUGGAACAAAAGCAUCUAUGUUUCUUCAUUAUUCCUGUAAUUCCAAAUAGAAUAGAUUUCCUUAUUUAAAUAAUUUUGUUAUUUCGCUUUCUCAGAGUAUUACCAUACAUAAAAGAAAACGGAUUCUAUCACAGCCCAACUGAGUUUGCAUUUCCUGGGUUCACUAACCAAUUACUUCUGGGUUAGAUCCUAAGAAUCCAUUUAUUGAGCAUUUGGUGUAGGACCAGGUUUUGUUAAGAUUUACAUACAUUAUUUGACUUGAUCUUCAUAAUAAUUCUAUGAAAUCAGUCUCUGAAAAUAGAUGUGAUUAUGCCCAUUUUAUGGAUGAGGAAGGGGCAGGGUGGAGACAUCAAAUAAUGGGUAUCCUGCUUUUUUGUCACUUUUCAUGUUGAUAACAUUUUCACACUACACUAUAACCUCCUUGUGGCAUUAGGCAUGAUGUUUCAAUUUUCUUUUACCCCAAGACCCUAGGCACAUAGUUAAACACUGGGUUAUUGACUGUUAACAGUGAUUGUCUUGUUUACCAACCACUGGGCCCUGGUUAAUGCAAAUAAUGGUGUUAAUGAGUAAAAACCAGGUCUACCACGUGGCCAUUUGACCAUAUAUGAAUCCCUGUACGUUCUGUACAAUGUCAAGAAAAGUCCUUGCUUAAGUUUCAUAAUAAUAUAGUCAGGAAAAUUUAUUGAACCAUUUUUUCCCCUUUCCCUUAAC
rnacentral:lncRNA from 1 species